AGAGCCCUACAAUGCAAGUGAUACCGACGCGUUUUGAUCCAACACUUCAAUUUCGGGAGUUUGCGUCUAUUCAUGGAUGGGUAGCCCCUUGAGGGAUUCCAGAAGUGUUUAGCAGAACACCCACCUGCUGUAGGCAGGUUCAAAACCUAGGAGCACGGCAGAGCGGGGCUCUU
rnacentral:other from 1 species